UACAGAGGUCUCAAGCGUUGUUCGGAUUCAUUGGGCGUAAAGGGUGCGUAGGUGGCGGGGUAAGUCAGGUGUGAAUCUCGGAGCUCAACUCCGAAACUGCACUUGAUACUGCCUUGCUCGAGUACUGGAGAGGAGAUUGGAAUUACGGUGUAGCAGUGAAUGCGUAGAUAUCGUAAGGAAGACCAGUGGCGAAGGCGAAUCUCUGGACAGUUACUGACACUGAGGCACGAAGGCCAG
rnacentral:rRNA from 1 species